UUUUCUAAACAAACUUCACCUCCUUCCAAAACCUAAUUUCCCAAACAAAUUUCUCGUGUGUCAAAAUGGGUUCUCGUCAUCCUUUGUCAAACCUACCUAUCAUGAAAAUAGUUCCACUUUACACCUCCGUCAGGCAUCUGCGGCGACGAAGGUGAAGAAACAGACGUCGUUGUCUUGUCGGCGUCGUUUGCUGCCCGCUUUGAGAUCUUUGGCUUCACACAUCGUCUGUAGAUCGCGGUGACGAAGGCAACAAAGGGCCCAUCGUUUUCUUUUAUCCGAUUGGUGUUGAGCAAGCUCUGAACACUCAGCAUCGAUGAACAAAAGAGGUCCUACUUUACUUUCUGACAUCUUUAGCCGGCCUUUAUCUGAAAGAGUCUUUGUGGACUUUAACAAGCGUGGAUGAGCUAUUGGACGUGAAGGGCGUGUACUUGCUAGUUUUUUGGGAAUUAUUGCAAGGGAACCAAUUAUGUCUCCUCUAACUGUUGAACAUUGGAGGCUUUUCCAAGACAUGAAAAAAAGAAACUACUAAAUUUUGUCAAGGUAAAAUCAAAAUUUUGCUCCUACAAGAA